rnacentral:hammerhead_ribozyme from 1 species
AUCCUAGUUGACGAGUCCUAAAUAGGACGAAACGCGAGUCCUGGAU